AGGCCAGGGUCACCCAAAGCCGGGAUGACAGCCCGCUUUUCUCUGGUGGUUCUACUCAGCCGCUCCACUGAGGAGAUGGGAGAGGUGAGGGGCGCAGGAGGAAGGUGGAGCUCAAAGAUGAGGAAGGGCCACUUGUGCAGAGAAGGGGGUGGCCACAGAGAUUGUGCAGGACUCGUCAAAGACAUCGGGACUCUUGUCCAGUGGCCCAGGGAUGGAAAAGGCCAGGAACUACUGGAGACCGAGGCACAAAAGAAGCACUUGCUGUCCUGGCUUAGGAUGGGGGUACAGAAGCUGUGGUGUAUCCGUGCCUGGCCUGUAAGGAGCACCUGCCAUGGGGCCUGCAAACCCUCAAAGCAGAAGAAAUGCUGGGCCCCUCUUCUCUCUUGAGAACCCUGUGAUGAUCACUCCAAGGCUCCCCGCAGCUUGGAAAGCAUGUCUGCUUGGGAC
rnacentral:antisense_RNA from 1 species